GUGUAGGCGUACGUGUUGUGCAGGGCCGUGCCGUUAUGAAUUCAAACCUUCAAGUUUUAGAUGCACCCAAGAAGAACCAUCUUGAUCGUUACUGGUGCGGAAGUGAUGACCUUGGAGCGUUUUAAGUCGAAAUUGGUAUUUAGGUCAAUAGGUCUCAUAGCACAGGCUCAUGGUGACAUCUGGUGGUUAAUAGAGGAAAUGCUUGAUGUGUAUUUACUCGAGGGAAAGUUGCAAAGAACCGUUACACGAUCUUCAAUUCAAACGUCUCCUCUGCCAAAUACAUGGACGGACGUGCCCAUGAUGGGUGAAGGGGUGUAACGGAUCUUCACGAACUUUCGCGAAAUUUGGACUGGUUGGCCAUCCGGUGAAACGCAGAGUUGGUAAUACUGAACCAGAUUAGAGUAAUCUUAACUUCUAAACUAGGAUCUACAUAUAUAGAAUAUGUAAAAGAAUCAAAGAUUUCUCACUUUAUACAAAGGAAUAGAAAAUAAAAAAUGUGUAAAUUUCUCUUUACUUAUAAAUACCAAAUAAGAAUUUAAUUUCAUUAAUUUACCUCUUUCGUCCAUGGUCCUUUGACCAAUUCUGGAUUCACGACUUUCGCCCAUCUUUGCUGACACUGAACGUCACUUCUGUCUGGGAAGUGGCCAGCUAUGACAUCCCAUCGAAGUCCGGUCCCAAGUUGCUCGGCGUUGCUUACUAGCUGCUUCAACAGACCGUCCUGAAACCCAUUCAAAUGGAACAUAUAUUACAUAUAGGUGCGUGUGAAGAAGACCAUUGACGAUUAAUUGAUGAGAUUUGCAAAACUUGCUGUGCUAAAUUGAUGAUAAUAAUUUUACUCGUGCAAUGUAUACUUCCGAUUUAAACAUUCGAGAAAGGCAUCAUUUUUAGUUAUGUUAAUUUUUGGAGGAUGUCUUUUAAUUUAAUAUCUGCAGUAUAA